rnacentral:rRNA from 1 species
CCUACGGGAGGCAGCAGUGAGGAAUAUUGGUCAAUGGUCGGGAGACUGAACCAGCUAAGCCGCGUGAGGGAUGAAGGUACAGAGUAUCGUAAACCUCUUUUGUCAGGGAACAAAGGCGGGGACGCGUCCCCGGAUGAGUGUACCUGAAGAAAAAGCAUCGGAUAACUCCGUACCAGCCGCCGCGGUAAUACGGAGGAUGCGAGCGUUAUCCGGAUGUAUUGGGUUUAACGGGUGCGCAGUCGGUCUGUUAAGUCAGCGGUCAAAGCCCGGGGCUCAACCCCGGCCCGCCGUUGAAACUGGCAGUCUCGAGUUGGAGAGAAGUAUGCGGAAUGCGCGGUGUAGCGGUGAAAUGCAUAGAUAUCGCGCAGAACUCCGAUUGCGAAGGCAGCAUGCCGGCUCCACACUGACGCUGAGGCACGAAAGCGUGGGUAUCGAACAGGAUUAGAUACCCGAGUAGUC